rnacentral:tRNA from 2 species
GGAGAGGUGCCGGAGUGGUUGAACGGGACGGUCUCGAAAACCGUUGUGCGGGCAACCGUACCGUGGGUUCGAAUCCCACCCUCUCCGCCA